rnacentral:rRNA from 1 species
AUUGAACGCUGGCGGAAUGCUUUACACAUGCAAGUCGAGCGGCAGCGCGGGGGCAACCCUGGCGGCGAGCGGCGAACGGGUGAGUAAUACAUCGGAACGUGUCCUUAAGUGGGGGAUAGCUCGGCGAAAGCCGGAUUAAUACCGCAUAAGCUCUGAGGAGGAAAGCGGGGGCUCCGUAAGGACCUCGCGCUGUUGGAGCGGCCGAUGUCGGAUUAGCUAGUUGGUGGGGUAAAGGCCCACCAAGGCGACGAUCCGUAGCUGGUCUGAGAGGAUGAUCAGCCACACUGGAACUGAGACACGGUCCAGACUCCUACGGGAGGCAGCAGUGGGGAAUUUUGGACAAUGGGGGCAAACCCUGAUCCAGCCAUUCCGCGUGAGUGAAGAAGGCC